rnacentral:misc_RNA from 1 species
AACGCACAUUGCGCCCUUUGGUAUUCCGAAGGGCAUGCCUGUUCGAGCGUCAUUAUCAACCCUCAAGCCCGGCUUGUCAUUGGGUGCUAUUGCCGUCAAACGCAAUACGCCUGAAAGAUAAUGGCGGUGUCAAGAUUAGACCCCAGGUGCAGCGAGCUUUGUAAGCAUACACUGAGGUGGUCGUCUUGGCCCGGUCUUUAACUAUUUUUUUAAAAGGUUGACCUCGGAUCAGGUAGGAAUACCCGCUGAACUUAA